rnacentral:tRNA from 1 species
GGGGGGAUGUCCGAGUGGUUAAAGGAGACGGGCUGUAAACCCGUUCGCUAUGCGUACGCAGGUUCGAAUCCUGCUCCCCCCA